rnacentral:rRNA from 1 species
UACAGAGGGUGCUAGCGUUGUUCGGAAUCAUUGGGCGUAAAGGGCGUGUAGGCGGUUUGCUAAGUCAUGUGUGAAAUCCCUCGGCUUAACCGGGGAACGACGCACGAAACUGGCAAGCUAGAGUACCAAAGAGGUGAGUGGAACUCCGAGUGUAGAGGUGAAAUUCGUAGAUAUUCGGAAGAAACACCAGUGGCGAAGGCGGCUCACUGGUCCGGUACUGACGCUGAUGUGCGAAAGCGUGGGGAGCAAACAGG